UAAAUGGAUUGAAAUGGUUACGAAAGUGAAACCACAGGGACUGAAAAUGGUCACGAAAGUGAAACCACACGGACUGAAAUCACAAUUUUUAAACUAAUGGACUGAAAUAGUGAUUUUUAACAAACCACAGGACGAAACAGUAAUUAACUCAAAAGAGUUAAUGACUUGUAAGAACAACUCAAACGGGUUCUUAGAGAUAUCAACUGGUUGGCUACCCUCCAACACUUGAUUUGCUAUAGAUCCCUUUUACUGUUAUAGAAAAAAAUAAGGUUAUAACCCGGAAAUUUUCCGGGUAGGAAAAUUUAAUUUAUAACAAAUAAAAGUAUAAAAAUAACACUUUAACAUCUAAAGUAUCAUCUUUCCCUUUUCUCCAUCAUAAAUUUUUAAUUGGUUUCUUAAACUUUUUCUUGUUGUAAAGAGCCAUAAAAACAUACAAAAGCAAGAAUGUAAAGUAAACGUCUAUAUUUAGAGCAUUUACAUUGGAACCUCUAUUCUAUAUUAUAUAGAGAAAAUAAUAGAGGAAACAACAAAAAUACCAUCACAUUGGAAUUUUUAUAAUAGAAAAAAAAUAAAGUAAAGUACACCUCUAUAUUUAUAGGGCCACAUACAUUCAACCCUCAAUAUUAUUAUUCUGAGUGUGUAAUAUCUAAUAUGAUUUUAAAAAAGUUCAUUUAUACCACAGCCUCGCCAAUUUUGAAAAGACCCAUUUUUAAAAAAAGACUCAUUCAUCACAACCUGUUUUAAUCGAGUUAAUCACAGGUUAUCCUCUAAAUAUCUUUUGACAUCUAUAUAUAAAAUAAAUACAAACAAACUAAUCAUAAGUCCGUCUUUAAACAAUUUUUCAAAGUUUACCUACUUGAGCAUUAGAGAUAAAUAUAAAGCAAAUCAUCCGUUAGGUAAAACCGGUUGAAAUUGCGUUUUUUUUUUUUUUCAGUAAACCAAACUUUAUUAAUCACCAAAAGAGGCAUACAAAAAACAAUUAAGCUUCCAAAAAAACACUAAGAUACAUCCAAAAUACUCUUACCCCAUUACACAUCCAAUCACUUUAAAAAAAUUAUCUAAGCACAUACACUAACCAAAGUCUAAACCAGAGAAAGUGGACCAGAUUGAGAGAUUGACGCCUAUCGAUCUGUUAAUCAUCCACCAGAGAGUAGCCUCCUUAAUGUCUUGCACUAUUUUAGUUUGAAAAGCAUCGACCCCUUUGAAGAUCUUAUCAUUUAUCCUUAACCAUAGCCUUCGUACUGUCAUGAGAAAUACAAUUUAAAUCGACAUUUUUUUUUCGUGGGCGUAUCCAGACUAAUUCUACAUACACAAACCUUCCAACAUAUUGAUUUAGCGAAGAUACGUGAAGCGAACAAAAGACAGGAAGAGCAGCUUUUAUAUUUUUUUUAUCAUAUAUGUAAUCAUUUUAUAAAUAAUGCUAUACAAAAUUACAGGAAGAGAAACUGUUAUAGUUAUUUUUUUUUAUAAUAUCAAUCAUAAUGCUGCUAUACACACCUUGUCGUAGCUUAAACACAUUUCUUCAGAUUAUGGCCCAAUUUGAUCAGAUUCUAAAAAACGAAGAAAGAUUAUCAUGAGAUACUGUAAAACUGGGGUUUAGUAUGUAAACCAUAAAAAUAACAAAUUAAUUUAGAUGAUUAGCCUUGCAGAAAACCCUGAUCGGGAAAGUUUACCUGAAUCGUUAACGAAAAAAAUCAGACUCAGAUUGGGUUACUCAAGCGGAUAUUAAUCACUGGAAUAAGAUCGGGUAUCAAACAUAAGAGCACACAUGAGUUGAUUAAUGGAACAAAAUGGUGAGGAGAAGAAUAUACAUCAGUGAAUCGAAUAGAGAUCAAUUUCCCAUAGGAUCCCAUUUAAGAUAUAUAGAUAUAUAGAUAUAGAUAAAGAACGAUGCAAGAUAUACCUUUCCUUCAACUUCUCAUAGGAUCCCAUUCAAGAGUUCCUUGUAGGGGAAGGAGUCUGAAAGAAACUCAUCACCUAAAAUUACAAAACACGAUUUGAAUUAGAUAUGCAACUCGAGUACAAAAACAAUAGUCAAAGAAGACUCGAAGCAUCCCUAAAAUUACAAAUAAUAUAGUCAAAGCAUCUCAUAAAAAAACAUCAAGAUUUCAAAGCGUUCAAAAUUUAAAAUCAAACACAAUAAUGGUUUACUUCAAAAUUUAAAUUUAAAAUAAUGAUUGACUUCAAAUUUUAAAAUUUAAAAUCUGAAAAUCAAAUCACUAAUAUCCAAUCUCGUAAAUCAAGGAAACUUAUUAGGAAAGUCUAACUUUUCAAAUUUAAAUUCAAUUUACAGAUUCGAAAUUUAAAAUCAAACACAUUAAUGGCAAACUUUCAAAUUUAAAUUUAAAAUAAUAAUUGACUUCGAAAUUGAAAAUUUAAAAUCAAACACAAUAAUGGUUUACUUCAAAAUUUAAAUUUAAAAUAAUGAUUGACUUCAAAAUUUAAAAUUUAAAAUCUGAAAAUCAAAUCACUAAUAUCCAAUCCCGUAAAUCAAGCAAACUUAUUAAGAAAGUCUAACCUUGCCAAGCAAAACCAACCGACAUAGAAACAA
rnacentral:lncRNA from 1 species